GACGAACGCUGGCGGCGUGCUUAACACAUGCAAGUCGAACGGUGAGGCCCUGCUUUUGUGGGGUGCUCGAGUGGCGAACGGAUGAGUAACAUGUGAGUAACCUGCCCUUGACUCUGGGAUAGCUUCAGGAAACUGGGGCUAAUACCGUAUAGGAGCUCCUGCUGCUUGGUGGUGGUUGGAAAGUUUCGGCGGUUGGGGCUGUACGCGCGGCUGAUCAGCUUGUUGGUGGGGUAGUGGGUUACCAAGGCUUCGACGGGUAGCCGGCCUGAGAGGGUUAGCGGCCCGAUUGGGACUGAGAUACGGCGCAGACGCCUAGGGGAGGGAGCAGUGGGGAAUAGUGCACUAUGGGCGGAAGGCUGAAGCAGCAACGCCGCGUGCGGGAUGACGGCCUUUGGGUUGUAAACCGCUUUCGCCUGGGACGAAGCGUGAGUGACGGUAAUGGGAAAAGAAGCGCCGGCUAACUACGUG
rnacentral:rRNA from 1 species